rnacentral:rRNA from 1 species
UGCGUAGGUGGGCAGGUAAGUCAGUGGUGAAAUCUUCGAGCUUAACUCGGAAACUGCCAUUGAUACUAUCUGUCUUGAAUAUCCUGGAGGUGAGCGGAAUAUGUCAUGUAGCGGUGAAAUGCUUAGAUAUGACAUAGAACACCAAUUGCGAAGGCAGCUCACUACGGGAUGAUUGACGCUGAGGCACGAAAGCGUGGGGAUCAAACA